rnacentral:other from 1 species
GUUCACUGCUGAGUAAGCAGUUUAGAAA